rnacentral:rRNA from 1 species
GUAGGUGACUAGCGUUGUCCGGAUUUACUGGGCGUAAAGAGCGCGCAGGCGGUCGUUCAAGUCGAGUGUGAAAGCCCCCGGCUCAACUGGGGAGGGUCAUUCGAUACUGAUCGACUCGAAGGCAGGAGAGGGAAGCGGAAUUCCCGGUGUAGUGGUGAAAUGCGUAGAUAUCGGGAGGAACACCAGUGGCGAAGGCGGCUUCCUGGCCUGUUCUUGACGCUGAGGCGCGAAAGCUAGGGGAGCAAACGGGAUUAGAUACCCCGGUAGUCCUAGCCGUAAACGAUGGACACUAGGUGUUGGUGGUAUCAACCCCACCAGUGCCGAAGCUAACGCAUUAAGUGUCCCGCCUGGGGAGUACGGCCGCAAGGCUA